rnacentral:rRNA from 1 species
CCUACGGGAGGCUGCAGUGGGGAAUAUUGGGCAAUGGGCGCAAGCCUGACCCAGCCACGCCGCGUGAAGGAAGAAGGCUUUCGGGUUGUAAACUUUCUUUAAGAGGGAAGAGCAGAAGACGAUACCUCUUGAAUAAGCUAUGGCUAACUACGUGCCAGCAGCCGCGGUAAUACGUAGGUGGCCAGCGUUGACCGGAUUUACUGGGUGUAAAGGGCGUGCAGGCGGGAAGACAAGUCAGAUGUGAAAUCCCGGGGCUCAACCGCAGAACUGCAGUUGAAACUGGUUUUCUUGAGUACCGGAGAGGUCAGCGGAAUGCGGUGUGUAGCGGUGAAAUGCGUAGAUAUAACGAAGAACACCAGUUGCGAAGGCGGAUGACUGG